GAGAGAGAGAGAGGAAGAACUAGAGAAAGAGAGAAACUGAGAGAGAGAGAGAGAGAGAGAGAGAAAGAUAGUGUGUAGGUGUACGAGAGCAAGUGAGAAACAGAGAGUAUCUCUACCGUGUGGAACGUGUACCGGACGUGCGAGCAUGCCACGCCCGUUACCGCAGCAUUUCUAUGACUAUGCGCUGUGCGAUCUAUCCUAGGGAUAUAGAGAGUACGUGUCAGGGUUUAUAGGUGUGGGUACUGGGAUCGGAUCGAGGCGGUUUCGUGGUUUUCGUGGAAGACGAAGUUCCGAUAUCCCCUCUCCAAUAGGGAAACGGAUCUUGCGUGCGAAAGAUCGCACCGCUUCUCGGAUCCCAUCCUUUUCGAUCCUUUGACUAUUCACUUUGUUUCCUCAUUCUUUGUCUACGUAUCGAUUAUACGAGAAACGUUCUACUUUCGACUAAAAAAAAGAAGAAAAACCUUUGGCGAAAUCUUUUAGCAUCUACGACACACGACGCUUAGAGUUUGUUUUCUAAAAGAUAUUAGGAAUGCAAGGAACCUUGAAAAAUCUGUUUGACUUUUCAGGAAGAAACGGAGUGGUUCGAACGUCUCAGAAAGGAACAACGUUCACGGUUCGAUCGGUUUGAGGACUCUCAGCCGUAACAAAUUCGAAUAUCUAGGUAUCUAUCGUCGAAGUUUAACCUUGGCAGCGAAUCGUGAAAUGCUAAUUGGAAUCGAAAUGCUAAUUAGAAUAAUAUUUAUAUAGCAAUUUCGGAGCGUAUGCAUCUCGCAUAACCGAGCGAGAUCGGUGUGAACCUACGGCCGACGUAGCAAGCGUGUACCACCACCAUCACCAUCACCACCACCACCAUCACCAUCACGUCGCAUUUCGCGUUAAUGGCCACAAUUAGCGAGGUUUAUUCUUACACGGUGCUAAUCGAUUUUCAUUGGUGUUCGUGGUCGUGGACGAUGGAAAAGUAAGUAACGAUUUGCGGAGAUAAAAUAAAAGUAUAAGUAGGUACUUCGUGGGCCUCGUAGAGAAUGAGAAGGAAGAUAUAACAAGGGUAUGAGAUUUCAGGUAACACACACGUUCGUUCGUUCGUUCUCGAACUACCGACGAGGCCAGAGACUUUGGAUAAUCCUCGUACGUGAAUGUGUUCUUCUCAUAAUAUGCCUAUCUCUAUCUCUCUAUCUCAUUCUCUUCCUAUGUUUCCCUUUCUCUUUUUAUUUAACAGACCCUCUGACUACAAAUCGGCGUAGAACGGCCGUUGCCUGUAAUUUAAUAUACGCACGAAAUGGAGACAGUAAUGACUCGUAUGGUUUCAGGCUUAAAAUUAAAUGCGACUAUCCGAGUUAGUAAAAUUCCUAAUUCGUACGCUCCAGAUCCGCGGACGGGCAAGGUAGUUGGAGGGAAGAGAGAAAACGACAGAGAGUAAGAGAAAGAGAGAGAGAUAGAGAGAGAAAGAGAAAGAGAGAAAGAGAAAAAGAGAGAAAGAUAGAGAGAGGGUGGGACAGGAGUACGUAGCAAGCACGUACAUUUUUCGUGUGAUCUUUCGGGGCUUCGUUUCCUCGUACCCAGCCCCUUUACCUCACCCUUCGAAUCUAGCCCUCGAGCUAGUCAAACGAGCCACCACUAGUGGAAGGUGCAACUGGACGCGUUCCAAAUUAAAUUCGGUCCUGUUGAAAUGAAAAAGAAGCAAAUGGACUACUGUUCUGUCGCGACAAAGAACAAGGCGUGGGUCAGGAACUCGAACGGAUAAAAUGAAGGUCUUGGUCCUUAGAUACGAUAGAACGUCAGUUAAUUCUACUCUAUGCUACUCAUUCCGGUAUCAUUUUUCAAUCAUAAAUCUUUCUUCCUACCAUAUGUUUUCUAAUCUUCGUAUCAUCUAUACGUUCAAAUAUAUCAUUUAAAACGAAUACAUAUUUAUACUUAACACAAAAUUCUUAUCAACUGGGCGUAUCUAAUACAUCGAUGCAUACCAAAUGUGUUUAAAACAAUUCUGUCGAUUAAUCGAGCGUUUUAAUCGAUAGAAAUACACAGCGGAGAGUUUAUUCGGAAACGCAAUACGAUUGUAUGCGGGCAAUACAAGAGAAUAAUAGAUUCAAAUAACGCAGAACGAUGAGCGUGGGUUUGUAAAAGAAGGAGAGAGAGAGAGAGAGAGAGAGAGAGAGAGGAAGAGAGAAAGAGAAAGAGAGAUGGAGAUAGAGAUAGAUAACGAGUGCGAGAGUCCAUGUAAAACCACACGUGCGCUCGUAAUCGAUGUGCAUACGAAUCGCAGAGAAAAUCUCAGUUUAACGAGCCACGAACGAUCCUGCCAGAGUGUUAACUUGUCUUACAUUCUUCGUCCUUUGAAAUAAUAAAGAAGCAAAUGGAUUUAAAAAAAUAUACUAUUAUUCCUUUUCGGUAAGGUUGGAAUCGUUAAACAAAGGGAAAAAUAAAGAGAAAGAAAGAAAGAAAGAAAGAGAGAGAGAGA
rnacentral:lncRNA from 1 species